UACGUAGGGGGGCAAGCGUUGUCCGGAAUCAUUGGGCGUAAAGAGCGUGUAGGCGGCCAGAUAAGUCCGCUGUGAAAUCUCGAGGCUCAACUUCGAGCUGUCGGUGGAAACUGUCUGGCUAGAGUCCGGAAGAGGAGAAUGGAAUUCCUGGUGUAGCGGUGAAAUGCGCAGAUAUCAGGAAGAACACCCCGUGGCGAAGGCGGCUCUCUGGUACGUGACUGACGCUGAGACGCGAAAAGCGUGGGGGAGCGAAACAGG
rnacentral:rRNA from 1 species